AUGAACGCUAGCGGCAGGCCUAACACAUGCAAGGUCGAGGGGCAGCACAGGUAGCAAUACUGGGUGGCGACCGGCGGAUGGGUGCGUAACGCGUAUGCAACCUACCAUUGAUUGGGGCAUAGCCCGAAGAAAUUCGGAUUAAUACUCCAUAAUAUUCAUCAAAGGCAUCUUUUAUGAAUUAAAGCUUUUGCGAUCAAUGAUGGGCAUGCGUGACAUUAGUUAGUUGGUGAGGUAACGGCUCACCAAAACGAUGAUGUCUAGGGGUUCUGAGAGGAUUAUCCCCCACACUGGUACUGAGACACGGACCAGACUCCUACGGGAGGCAGCAGUGAGGAAUAUUGGUCAAUGGACGCAAGUCUGAACCAGCCAUGCCGCGUGCAGGAUGACGGCCCUAUGGGUUGUAAACUGCUUUUCCACGGGAAGAACCCUCCGACGUGUCGGAGACUGACGGUACCGUGGGAAUAAGCAUCGGCUAACUCCGUG
rnacentral:rRNA from 1 species